rnacentral:misc_RNA from 1 species
GGGUUGGCUUCUCCUAUUCCAAUACUAGCUCAGAUUAUGCACAAUCAGGCGACAAGAGGACUGCUCAAGAUGCAUAUAGGUUUCUAGUGAAUUGGUUCAAGAGGUUUCCACAUUACAAAAGCAGGGAUUUUUACAUCAUGGGAGAAAGUUAUGCAGGAUUCUAUGUGCCAGAGCUAGCAGACAUCAUUGUCAAGAGCAACAUGCUAGCAACCACAAACUCCAAGAUCCAAUUCAAAGGAAUCAUGAUAGGAAAUGGUAUAAUGAACGAUGUCACAGAUGAGAAAGGGCAAUUAGAUUAUUUAUGGAGUCAUGCACUAAUCUCUGAUGAGACUCAUUUAGGCAUCCAACAACAUUGCAAAACCCAAACUGAUGAGACAAAAAUAUGUGAACAAUUUCAAAGCACAGCUCAAACUGAGUUUGGAAACAUAGAUCCUUACAACAUCUAUGGUCCAAUUUGUC